rnacentral:rRNA from 1 species
UACAGAGGUCUCAAGCGUUGUUCGGAUUCAUUGGCGUAAAGGGUGUGUAGGUGGCGCCGUAAGUCGGGUGUGAAAUUUCGGAGCUUAACUCCGAAACUGCAUUCGAUACUGCGGUGCUUGAGGACUGGAGAGGAGACUGGAAUUCAUGGUGUAGCAGUGAAAUGCGUAGAGAUCAUGAGGAAGACCAGUGGCGAAGGCGGGUCUCUGGACAGUUCCUGACACUGAGACACGAAGGCCAGGAGAGCAAACGGG